rnacentral:rRNA from 1 species
CCUACGGGAGGCAGCAGUGGGGAAUAUUGGACAAUGGGCGCAAGCCUGAUCCAGCAAUGCCGCGUGGGUGAAGACGGCCUGCGGGUUGUAAAGCCCUUUGGGCGGGGAGGAACGGUGGGGUGAUAAUACCGCCUCACGCUGACGUUACCCGCGAAACAAGCACCGGCUAACUCCGUGCCAGCAGCCGCGGUAAUACGGAGGGUGCGAGCGUUAAUCGGAAUUACUGGGCGUAAAGCGUGCGUAGGCGGUUUGGUCAGUCAGCCGUGAAAGCCCUGGGCUCAACCUGGGAACGGCGGUUGAGACGGCCAGACUGGAGUGGGCUAGAGGAUCGUGGAAUUCCGGGUGUAGCGGUGAAAUGCGUAGAGAUCCGGAGGAACACCGAUGGCGAAGGCAGCGAUCUGGGGCCACACUGACGCUGAGGCACGAAAGCGUGGGGAGCAAACAGGAUUAGAUACCCUGGUAGUCCACGCGGUAAACGAUGAGCACUAGACGCUGGUGGGGUGACCUGUCGGUGUCGCAGCUAACGCGCUAAGUGCUCCGCCUGGGGAGUACGGCCGCAAGGUUGAAACUCAAAUGAAUUGACGG